GUGAGGAAUAUUGCCCAAUGGGGGAAACCCUGAGGCAGCAACGCCGCGUGGACGAUGACGGCCUUCGGGUUGUAAAGUCCUUUUCUGUGGGAAGAUGAUGACGGUACCGCAGGAAUAAGUCCCGGCUAACUACGUGCCAGCAGCCGCGGUAAAACGUAGGGGGCGAGCGUUAUCCGGAUUUACUGGGCGUAAAGCGCGCGCAGGCGGCGGGUCAAGUUGGCCGUGAAAGCUCCCGGCUUAACUGGGAGAGGUCGACCAAAACUGACCGGCUAGAGGCUGAGAGAGGAGAGCAGAAUUCCCGGUGUAGUGGUGGAAUGCGUAGAUAUCGGGAGGAAUACCAGUGGCGAAGGCGGCUCUCUGGCUCAGAACUGACGCUGAGGCGCGAAAGCGUGGGGAGCGAACGGGAUUAGAAACCCGGGUAGUCC
rnacentral:rRNA from 1 species